AAAGGAGAAAAAUGGUGGCUGCUAACUUCCAUUCUAGCCAAAAGCUCUCCUUUU
rnacentral:tRNA from 1 species